CGGGCGCUACCGUACAAGGAGUGCACGGGUCUGUUCCAGUCCAAUAAUUUAUCAAUUGCAGGUUAGACCGCUUGGAUCAUUGGCGACCGAGACGGGUGA
rfam:Moorella glycerini strain NMP genome assembly, contig: M_glycerini_NMP_DRAFT_scaffold-65